AAAAGGAUCACAGAUGCUGCUCGGGGCCAGCCCUAUACUCCCUCCAGUGCCUGGUCUCCGGUGGACCCGCGGGGCUCUGCAGUUCUCUGGCGGCCGCGCCUUGUAAGCGCUAAGCCGGGAGGAGGGCGCAGGCAGGGCGCACAGCUCUGAGCGCGACCCUACCCGGCUCGGGCCCGCAGCAACCCCGACUGUCCGAGAGCCUCUCCCCAAGCAAGGCUCUGCGCCGCCCUCUGAGCCCACCUCCUGGCCACAACGCUGCCUGCGCUUCUCCAGCCCAGGCCGGAAGCCCUAUGCUGCCUCCCGAAGCCGACUCAAGGACUGGGGACUUGGUGGAUCUAUGGCAUUGGUACCCACAGAGGUCACCUGCACAGAUAAAUCUGUCGCCACCCUUCAACCCUGGCCUACCGGAUCUGCGGGGAGAAAUGCAGCAUUUGAAUUGGGGAGUGUUCAGUCCUGCUCUGCGGGGCAUUUAUUUACAAAUAUCAGCUGCAACCCAGCCUUGAUAACGUCUCAUACAGUCAGAGGACUUUGCGGGAAGCACACUUCCUCCUUGUUUGGGGCUACAGGGAAAGCCCAGGAAAGCGAGUCCCAGAAGGCCUGGGACAGCUACACCCAGUUCACCCAUGCUCAACCCGGAACAGCCGACCCAAACGGUCAGGAAGGACUUUCUGGAAGCCCAUCUUCGUAUGCUCACCAGCCCACCCUCCUACGCUGGUCAGAGUGAGAUUGCUAACCUCAAGACCCCAUUCAAUGCCAGCUUUCAACUACUGCUGAAGACCAAUGUAGGUCCUGGAAUAGAAGAACUGCAGAGUGGGGCUGCGUAGAGGAUUCGGCAGUUUCUCGGCCACAAGGACGGAGUUUCCUAAGAAGGGAAAGAAGAGUGCGGGCAGAGAGGAGAGGUCCGAGGGGGAAAAGAGAGGCCUGAGGACGCUCUGGCGGCUCCAGUACCAAGCCUUGGUAUCUUUGGGAUUCUGGGGAGAGUGGAAGGGUUUACAAACUACACAUAAAUCGGUGAACUUGAACCACUGUGUAUCCCGAUUUUGCAUUGAGCCGGGCCCUGCGCACCCGGAAUGCUGAAGUGGCCAAGGGCAGAGAGGGGUGUAUUUGCAACUCGUGGUUUCUUCGGUUAAACAAACCCCAACCCGUAGCCUCAGCAACAACAACAAAAACUGCAAGUGCAGGAAGCAAAAUUAAACAUAAUUCCUUUUAUUUAUCUGUUGCAUUUAUAUCAUUAAAAUAUUUUUGGUUACGUUGUAUAGAAUAGCAUCCACUCUGAUUAUUACCUGCCAUAUCGGCUGUAUUCAACACAGCAAAAUUAACAAUUAAGAAAAUAAAGGCACAUCUUAUAUAUUG
rnacentral:misc_RNA from 1 species